rnacentral:piRNA from 1 species
UAAAUGAAAAAGGGCUACACGAUAC